rnacentral:lncRNA from 1 species
GACAGGGCAGAUAGGUGCAAGUUCCUGUCACCUGAGGAGGACUUUGUUGUUUUGUUUGUUUGUUUCUGAACCCCAGUCUCGUUCUGUCACCCAGGCUGGAGCACAGUGGUGUGAUCUCGGCUCACUGCAAACUCUGCCUCCCAGGUUCAAGCGAUUCUCCCACCUCAGCCUACCGAGUAGCUGGUACUACAGGGGUGCGUCACCACGCCUAGCUAAUUUUUGUAUUUUUAGUAGAGAUGGGGUUUCACCAUGUUGGUCUCUAACUCCUGACCUCUAGUGAUCCGCCCCCCUUGGCCUCCCAAAGUGCUGGGAUAACAGAUGUGAGCCACCGUGCCUGGCCAGGACUUUGGCUUUUAUGCCCAGCGAGGUGGGAGGUAUAGAGGGUUCUGAGCAGAGGAAGGACCUUGCCCUAACUCAAGUGUUCACAGGGGCCCAGUUGAGGCUUCAAGAGCUGCAGCCAGGAGAUGGGAGAGGAGGUGACUGUUCUAGUCCAGAUGAAUGAUAGUGGGGCCUGGACUGGGCAGUGUCCUUGGAGAAAGGGCUGAAUUUGACAUCCGUUUUGGAGGCUGGGCCAACUGGAGGUGCUGGGACAAGGGGGAUGACUCCUUGAUCAGGGUCCGAGCCUUUUGGAGGAUGGCGGGUCACUUUCUGAGAUGGGAGUGGGAUGGCUAUGGUAGGGGGCAGGCUGGCAGAGAGAGACGGCACCUCCCAGUCCUCCGUUCCCUUAAGCGUUUUUCAAGGAAAAGGGAAGCAGAUAUUUCCUAGACCUUUGUUUCUGUCUCCAGGAAGGGCAGGGCUUCCUCCCGGUUGCCAGACAGUCAGGCAGGCCAAAGAAUGGCCUCAGACCAGAGGCUGCCCACCAAGGGCAGAAGCCAUCCCAUAGUGUCCCAUGCAAACGCCUUGCAGUUCCCUCAGCCUGGAAUGCUCUUCCCUUCAACCCCAACAAGGCUGGCUCCUCCUGUCUUGUGGCCUGAGCUUUCUCCUAAAUGAGUGUCCCCCCUACUCCAUCCUGGGCCACAUCCUGGGCGUUCCUUGUCACUCGCCUUAAUAUUCGAAUUCCUUAACUCAUUACUUGCUGAAUUUCUUUUUUAAUUUUUUGAGACAGAGUUUCACUCUGUCACCCUGGCUAGAGUGCAGUGGCACGAUCUCAGCUCACUGCAACCCCUGCCUCCCAGGUUUAAGUGAUUCUCCUGCCUCAGCCUCCCGAGUAGCUGGGAUUACAGACAUACGCCACCAGACCCGGCUAAUUUUUGUGUUUUUAGUAGAGACGGGGUUACACCAUGUUGGCCAGCCUGGUCUCAAACUCCUGACCUCAAGUGAUCCACCUGCCUUGGCCUCCCAAAGGGCUGGGAUUAUAGGCAUGAGCCACUGCUCCCGGCCUAUUUAGUUUUUUUUUUUUUUUUUUUUUUGAGACAAAGUCUCGCUCUGUUGUCCAGGCUGGAGUACAGAGGUGUGAUCUCGGCUCACUGCAACCUCCGUUUCCUAGGUUCAAGAAAUUCUUCUGCCUUAGCCUCCCAAAUAGCUGGGAUUACAGGCACCCACCAACACCCCUGGCUAACUUUUGUAUUUUUUUUUUUUUUCAAGAUGGAGUCUCACUCUGUGGCCCAGGCUGGAGUGCAGUGGUGCGAUCUCGGCUCACUGCAACCUCCACCUCCCAGGUUCAAGUGAUUCUCCUGCCUCAGCCUCCCAAAUAGCUGGGACUACAGGUGCGUGUCACCACGCACAGCUAAUUUUUUGUAUUUUUAGUAGAGACAGGGUUUCACCGUGUUAGCCAGGAUGGUCUCGAUCUUCUUACCUCAUUAUCUGCCUGCCUCACCCUCCCAAAGUGCUGGGAUUACAGGCGUGAGCAAACGCACCCGGCCAACUUUUGUAUUUUUAUUUUACUUUUCAUUUUAUUUAUGUAAAUUUUUGUGAGGUCGUCUCACUCCGUCGCCCAGGCUGGAGUGCAGUGGUGCAAUCUCGGCUCACUGCAACCUCUACUUCCCAGGUUCAAGCGAUUCUCUUGCCUCAGCCUCCCAGGUAGCUGAGACUACAGGUACCCACCACCACAUCUAGCUAAUUUUUGUAUUUUUAGUAGAGAUGAGGUUUUACCAUGUUGGCCUGGCAGGUCUAGAACUCCUGACCUCAGGUGAUCCGCCCGCCUUGGCCUCCAAAAGGCGUGAGCCACUGUGCCCGGCAGAGCUUAUCUUUGAUUACAGAUUUCUUCUGGGGAAUAGCUUAGUUUGUGGUUUUGUUUUUCAAAACUCUGCUUCAGCAAAGAUGUGGGGAAAAAAAAAGGGCUAUGGAAACUCUUCUGAUUCCAGUUUUGGUGAUGGAAGACAGCCACCAGGAAACCCUGCCGAAAGAAUGGGUCAGAUCAAUAAUCUGAGCGGUCCCAGUCCUCCUCCAAUGGCUGAUGGAUGAGGAAGGAAGUCACUCUGAAAACUCAGGUUUACACAACAUCUACUUGUACAAUCAAGCACACACUCUCAGGCUGCAUGAAGUACUGUCGCAGACAGGACUGCAAACCCUCUCAGGGCAGGAGAGGGAUGUGGCAGGAGUCAGCUCCUAGGAAGUGCCAGCGCCCACGCACCUGUGAGCUCCUGGAGUCUGACUCACCGGGUAAGUGAAUUCUUGUAAUUUCCACAAACAGCCCUGGGGUUCCCCUAAACCAGACCGUGAGCCUCUUGAGACGGCGGAUCCCCAACAGUGCCCAGAACCUGGGAAGGAGCUCAUCGUUCUCAAUGCAAUUAUCAAAAAUGACACUGAGAAGUUAUCUUUAUCCUCCUUGAUUCAAAAAUACAAUUUAUUUUAAAAACAAAAAGAGGGAAUGGAUGCAGAAGCCCGUCUGGGCUUUCCGUGGAGUCGCCCCUUCCCAAUGGCGAUGGCCGCUCCCUGUGGCCUCAGCUUCCUCCGUGGAAUGAAGGGGUCCAGGUGACACCUUCCUCGAAGGGUGGGCGUGGGCCUGAGGCUCCCAAGUCGGCCAGGGGCUCGGCCUGGCUCAGAAGAGGUGCUUCACAUCAACAGUGGUACGGGGUGGCCGCUGGGCCCUGGGUAGCGUGGGGUAGGGGUCGGGGGAAGUCGCUGUAGGGCAGGCUGAAGGGGUAGAGGGGUCUGUAACGUGAGUCCUGCCAGAGCAGCUUGUCCUCCAGGAAGGCGACGGUGGGCAGCGUCAGGACCAGCGUCUGGUGCUUGAGCAUGCUGUGCACAU